GGCUGAUGAGAGAAGGUAGAUUAUGGGUCUGCCAAGGCUUUUUACUGGUCUCUGUUUAUCUUUUUCUGAGUGCCAAUUCAGCAUGGUCUAGACCAGGAUCAUUUGUUUGCAGGGAUGGAAAACAAACUGAAACUGGCUCAAGUGAAGGCUCACUGGAAGGCUUACUGGAAAACUUACUGGAAGGAUGUGAGGAGAUGUUCGGGAAUCUAUUUGCAGAAAACAUGUUCAGUUGGCAAUGCAAGAUGUUCAGGAUAUGAAACUUUCACCGACCCUUACAUUCCAUACUCCUCGCCAAUGUGUUAUGUCAGAAAUUCUGACAUUCCAAAUUCAUAUUGGUCUUUAUUUUCCUAACUGUUGAAGCAGAAGAUAGAACAGCAAUGCACCCAAGAGUCUGCCCUAGGUCCUCCUCUUCAUACAAUACUUCUAAGAUGUCAAUGGGAACACAUCUAUUGGUGUGCAUCAAGGAAUUACAUCUAUUCACUCACUUAUGAUCUGUAACCCACAAUAAAACACCCUUUUCUCCAAAAAUUAACCAUAUACUAUAGGCUUCUCAGUUGUAUGAGUGUGUGCGUAUACACACAUAUACAUACACCAAGGUAAUAUACCAUAUCCACAUAUACCAAGGUAAAAGAUUCUUUGUGUGGGAUAAGGAAACAGCCCAGUGCUUUUACAUUAAUAAUAUCUUGUUCUUAAUUUACAGCGUUUGUAGCCCUUACCUGAG
rnacentral:lncRNA from 1 species